rnacentral:misc_RNA from 1 species
GAUGAAGAACGCAGCGAAAUGCGAUACGUAAUGUGAAUUGCAAAUUCAGUGAAUCAUCGAGACUUUGAACGCACAUUGCGCCCCCUGGUAUUCCGGGGGGCAUGCCUGUCCGAGCGUCAUUGCUGCCCUCAAGCACGGCUUGUGUGUUGGGCCCCGUCCUCCGAUCCCGGGGGACGGGCCCGAAAGGCAGCGGCGGCACCGCGUCCGGUCCUCGAGCGUAUGGGGCUUUGUCACCCGCUCUGUAGGCCCGGCCGGCGCUUGCCGAUCAACCCAAAUUUUUAACCAGGUUGACCUCGGAUCAGGUAGGGAUACCCGCUGAACUUAAGCAUAUCAAUAAGCGGAGGA